rnacentral:rRNA from 1 species
UGGGGAAUAUUGGACAAUGGGCGCAAGCCUGAUCCAGCCAUGCCGCGUGAGUGACGAAGGUCUUCGGAUUGUAAAACUCUUUUGGCGGGGACGAUAAUGACGGUACCCGCAGAAUAAGCCCCGGCUAACUUCGUGCCAGCAGCCGCGGUAAUACGAAGGGGGCUAGCGUUGUUCGGAAUCACUGGGCGUAAAGCGCACGUAGGCGGAUGUGCCAGUCAGGGGUGAAAUCCCGGAGCUCAACUCCGGAACUGCCUCUGAUACUGCACGUCUUGAGUUCGAGAGAGGUGGGUGGAAUUCCUAGUGUAGAGGUGAAAUUCGUAGAUAUCGGAAGGAACAUCGGUGGCGAAGGCGUCUACCUGGCCUAAUACUGACACUGAGGCACGAAAGCGUGGGGAGCAAACAGGAUUAGAUCCCCCGUAGUCCCUGAGCGGGCUGGCAAGGCGCAU